AACGUAGGUGGCGAACGUUAUCCGGAAUCAUUGGGCGUAAAGGGUGCGUAGAUGGCAUGAUAAGUUAUUAGUGGGAAAUCGAGGCUCAACCUCGUGGAAGCUGGUAAUACUGUUUUGCUUGAGUGCAGGAGAGGUUAACGGAACUCCAUGUGGAGCGGUAAAAUGCGUAGAUAUCAGGAGGAAUACCGGUGGUGUAGACGGCUCUCUGGACCGCGACUGACGCUGAGACACGAAAGCGUGGGUAGCAAACAGG
rnacentral:rRNA from 1 species